rnacentral:lncRNA from 1 species
CCAAUUUUUGGAAAAACUGCCUCGCGUAUGUGCACGCACCUCCCUGGUGUCCGGGAGGGGCCCAGGCGUCCGGGAGGGACCCAGGCGUCCGGGAGGGGCCCAGGAAUCUGGGAGGGGCCCAGGCGUCCGGGCGAAGGUGACAACGAGCCGGGGCCAAAUUCUGGGUGCAAAAAGUGCUUUAUUGGGGGGCUCCAGCCCAUCCCCCCCAUGGCACAGGUCAGGGGCCCAGGCGUCCGGGAGGGACCCAGGCGUCCGGGAAGGGCCCAGGGGUCCAGGAGGGGCCCAGGCGUCCGGGGGGGCCCAGGCGUCCGGGAGGGGCCCAGGCGUCCGGAGGGGCCCAGGCGUCCGGGGGACCCAGGUGCCCCCAGGACGGGGGUGGUGGUGGUGGUGGGGCUGCAGCCCCUGGACAGGAAGUGACGUCAUUUAAGACAGGAAGUUGGCACCGGCUGGAGGGGUGGGGCCUCAGGACCCCGCCCCCCGGACAGGAAGUGACCCCGUUUGGGACAGGAAGCGGCUUGCGCUCCAGAGGAAGUGAUGUCAUCCAUGACAGGAAGUGACCUCGGCCCCCAGGAGGAAGUAGUGCAUGAGGGGGCGGGGCCGAGGGGGGGCAGGAAGUGACAUCAGCAUCAUGGCGCCCGGGCAGGAGACGCUCCUGGGGGAGGAGAACAUGGCCGUCGGCCCUGGCCCCCCCCAGUGCGGCCCAGUGACUCCCAGUUUGGCCCAGUGACACCCCAAGUCCCUCCCAGUGCUCCCAGUCCCCCCCAGUGACCCCCCCAGU